CGCUGGCGGCAGGCCUAACACAUGCAAGUCGAGGGGUAGAAAGAGCUUGCUUUUUUGAGACCGGCGCACGGGUGAGUAACGCGUAUGCAACCUACCUUAUACAGGGGAAUAGCCCGAAGAAAUUCGGAUUAAUGCUCCAUGGUUUAUCGAUAUGGCAUCGUAUUGAUAAUAAAGAUUUAUCGGUAUAAGAUGGGCAUGCGUAUCAUUAGCUAGUUGGUGUGGUAACGGCAUACCAAGGCAACGAUGAUUAGGGGUCCUGAGAGGGAGAUCCCCCACACUGGUACUGAGACACGGACCAGACUCCUACGGGAGGCAGCAGUGAGGAAUAUUGGUCAAUGGAGGCAACUCUGAACCAGCCAUGCCGCGUGCAGGAUGACGGUCCUAUGGAUUGUAAACUGCUUUUGUACAGGAAGAAACCUCCCUACGAGUAGGGACUUGACGGUACUGUAAGAAUAAGGAUCGGCUAACUCCGUGCCAGCAGCCGCGGUAAUACGGAGGAUCCGAGCGUUAUCCGGAAUUAUUGGGUUUAAAGGGUUCGUAGGCGGCUUUGUAAGUCAGUGGUGAAAUUUCCUAGCUUAACUAGGACACUGCCAUUGAUACUGCAGAGCUUGAAUAGUAUGGAAGUAACUAGAAUAUGUAGUGUAGCGGUGAAAUGCUUAGAUAUUACAUGGAAUACCAAUUGCGAAGGCAGGUUACUACGUAUUUAUUGACGCUGAUGAACGAAAGCGUGGGGAGCGAACAGGAUUAGAUACCCUGGUAGUCCACGCCGUAAACGAUGGAUACUAGCUGUUCGGUUUUCGGACUGAGUGGCUAAGCGAAAGUGAUAAGUAUCCCACCUGGGGAGUACGUUCGCAAGAAUGAAACUCAAAGGAAUUGACGGGGGCCCGCACAAGCGGUGGAGCAUGUGGUUUAAUUCGAUGAUACGCGAGGAACCUUACCAGGGCUUAAAUGUAGAUUGACAGAUUUGGAAACAGAUUUUUCUUCGGACAAUUUACAAGGUGCUGCAUGGUUGUCGUCAGCUCGUGCCGUGAGGUGUCAGGUUAAGUCCUAUAACGAGCGCAACCCCUAUUGUUAGUUACCAGCGCGUAGAGGCGGGGACUCUAGCAAGACUGCCGGUGCAAACCGUGAGGAAGGUGGGGAUGACGUCAAAUCAUCACGGCCCUUACGUCCUGGGCUACACACGUGCUACAAUGGCAAGUACAGAAAGCAGCUACCUGGCAACAGGAUGCGAAUCUCCAAAGCUUGUCUCAGUUCGGAUUGGAGUCUGCAACUCGACUCUAUGAAGCUGGAAUCGCUAGUAAUCGGAUAUCAGCCAUGAUCCGGUGAAUACG
rnacentral:rRNA from 1 species